UGGAAUGUUGACAUCACUGCUCCGACUCGCUGACGACUGCUGAGCCUCAUCUUCAAUUAAUACUCUCUUCUGUUGUAAUUUAAGCAUGCAGACCUACAGACAACACCUUGAUGACUUGUAAGAAAUAAGGAUGUUAAGUCAGCUUGAUGAUAAGAGGAAGCGAGGAUUUCAUGUAAGACGAGAUCCUUUUCAGCAUUAUAAUGAAGGAGAAUUUAAUUAGCGCUACAGAGUAUCUAAGAACAGCACCAUGGAGCUGCUUACAAAAAUCAGACAUCAUCUACUAAUGUCACUGAGCCAUAGAGGUAGUCAAAUAUUUAUGAUUUCAAUACAGUAUAGUAGUGCUUAUCAGAUGCUUGAGGAACAGCAUGAUAAAUGUCAUGAUCAUGAAAUAUGAAGUAGGUUUUUAGUGAGAGGGGGAUUAGGUUCAAUCUAAAAAACAGUACUGUACUGCAUAAAUUUUUGCCCUGUGAGUACUAAGUCCUUAAGACAUUACGAAGAAUAGUAUAGUAUCUUUUCUUUCUUUCAUUCCUUUCAGGCAUUCCAAUUCCUCCAGUUUUACAGCUACUGGUUGCCAUGAGAUACAAGGCUACAGGAAAUUUUCAAAUAACUCUGGGAGACUGUUCAGACAUGUCUCAACCAAGUGUUAGCAAAUGUGUCCGGAAUGUUUCUGCUUCUAUUGCCACUCUUGCACCAGGUUAUAUUAAAUUCCCCUUUCCUGACCGAGAGAAGAUGAUUUCCUGCAGGAAUUUGCCUCUAUUGCUGGAAUGCCAGGUGUGAUAGGCUGCAUAGAUGGGACUCACAUUCCAAUCAAGAGCCCUUGAAAGUCAAAUCCUGAACUCCACAGGAGUUGAAAGAAUUUCUUCUCCAUUAAUGUCAUGGGCGUAUGUGAUGCACACAUGAAAUUUACAAACCUUGUCGUAAACUGGCCGGGCAGUACUCAUGACUCCCGCAUAUUCACAACGUCAAGACUUUGUGAAAGUCUGCAGGUCGGUGAACAUCGAGGCUUUAUCCUUGGUGAUAGUGGAUAUGCGUUGCGUCCAUACUUACUCACUCCAAUCCAUAAUCAAGCUAAUGAAAAGCAGAGGAAAUAUAACAGAUCUCAUUUUAAAACAAGAACUACAAUUGAAAGGACAUUUGGGGUGUGGAAGAGGAGAUUUGCUGUACUGCAGCAUGUAAGAGCAAAGCUGUCUACUACUAAAAAUAUUAUAAUUGCAUGUGCAGUUCUCCAUAUUAUGGCUUUGAUUUCUGGACUUCCACUGGACAUAAAAGACAUGCAUUUAGAAGACCCUGACGACCCUGAAGAAAUGAUCAGAUAUGGAAAUUAUGAAGGUCAAGCAAGGAGGGAGUAUAUAGUGGAGCAUUUUUUUUUAAUUAAA